rnacentral:rRNA from 1 species
CAGUCGCCACGGGAAUACAGAGGGUGCGAGCGUUAAUCGGAUUUACUGGGCGUAAAGCGUGCGUAGGCGGCUUCUUAAGUCGGAUGUGAAAUCCCUGAGCUUAACUUAGGAAUUGCAUUCGAUACUGGGAAGCUAGAGUAUGGGAGAGGAUGGUAGAAUUCCAGGUGUAGCGGUGAAAUGCGUAGAGAUCUGGAGGAAUACCGAUGGCGAAGGCAGCCAUCUGGCCUAAUACUGACGCUGAGGUACGAAAGCAUGGGGAGCAAACAGGAUUAGAACCCCUGUAGUCCCUGUCUCUUAUACA